AUACGUAGGGGGCGAGCGUUAUCCGGAAUUAUUGGGCGUAAAGAGUACGUAGGCGGUUCUGUAAGCGUGAGGUGAAAGCCCGGGGCUUAACUCCGGUAAGCCUUUCGAACUGCAGGACUUGAGUGCUGGAGGGGAAAGUGGAAUUCCUAGUGUAGCGGUGAAAUGCGUAGAUAUUAGGAGGAACACCAGUGGCGAAGGCGACUUUCUGGACAGUAACUGACGCUGAGAUACGAAAGCGUGGGGAGCAAACAGGAUUAGAUACCCUGGUAGUCCACGCUGUAAACGAUGAGCACUAGGUGUCGGGCUAGCAAUAGUUCGGUGCCGCAGUUAACGCAAUAAGUGCUCCGCCUGGGGAGUACGCACGCAAGUGUGAAACUCAAAUGAAUUGACGGGG
rnacentral:rRNA from 1 species